AACUGCAUUUUUUAACUACCGAGCUAGAGUGUGUCAGAGGAGAGUGGAAUUCCGCGUGUAGCAGUGAAAUGCGUAGAUAUGCGGAGGAACACCGAUAGCGAAGGCAGCCUCCUGGGAUAACACUGACGCUCAUGCACGAAAGCGUGGGAGCAAGCAGGAUUAGAUACCCUGGUAGUCCGCCUAAACGAUAUCAACUAGCUGUUGGGGCCUUCGGGCCUUGGUAGCGCAGCUAACGCGUGAAGUUGACCGCCUGGGGAUACGGUCGCAAGAUUAAAACUCAAAGAAAUUGACGGGGACCGCACAAGCGGUGGAUGAUGUGGAUUUAAUUCAGUGCAACGCGAAAAGCCUUACCUACCCUUGACAUGUCUGGAAUCCCGAAGAGAUUUGGGAGUGCUCGCAAGAGAACCGGAACACAGGUGCUGCAUGGCUGUCGUCAGCUCGUGUCGUGAGAUGUUGGGUUAAGUCCCCACCGGCGAGCGCAACCUUGUCAUUAGUUGCUACGGAAGGGCACUCUAAUGAGACUGCCGGUGACAAACCGGAGGAGGUGGGGAUGACGUCAAGUCCUCAUGGCCCUUAUGGGUAGGGCUUCACACGUCAUACAAUGGUCGGGACAGAGGGUCGCCAACCCGCGAGGGGAGCCAAUCCCAGGAAACCCGAUCGUAGUCCGGAUCACAGUCUGCAACUCGACUGCGUGAAGUCAAAUCGCUGGUAAUCGCGGAUCAGCAUGUCGCGGUGAAUACGUUCCCGGGUCUUGGCACACACCGCCCGUCACACCAUUAAGAUGGGUUUACCAGAAGUAGUUAGCCUAACCGUAAGGAGGGCGAUUACCACGGUAGGAUUCAUGACUGGGGGUGAAGUCGUAACAAGGUAA
rnacentral:misc_RNA from 1 species